CGAAAUUGGAAGAAAGGAGCUGGAGUCAACCGUACCUGCCCUAAAUUCUUGUGUUUCUGUGUUCUGCUUUUCCACCAGGCAACCCUGCGUGAAGUGGCAGUUCUGUGCCAGUCUGCAGCCCUGGAUGGCUUUGCGUUGCUUAAGGAUAAACAGGGCCACCGUGCCGUGCCCUAAUCAGUGUGGGUGGAACCCAUCGGACUGAAGCUGUGGAGUUCGUGUGCCCAGCAUGGAGCUCAAGGGAGACAGCACUUCAUUGCCUGGGGCCUCCGGGGUCCCCAGUGUCAUGGAAAAGGGAUCGAACUUGGGUCCUUCCACUUGCGAGGCAGGUGGCAGAACCACCGAGCUAUGGCCAAACUGGUCUUCAAGCCAAGAUAUGAAUUUGCACCCAACCAACUGGACCCCGACCUUCAAAUUUAUUCCUAUGCCAGAAACCCUAGUGCCCUGCUGUUUCCUGAGGAAGUGCAGCCCUGUCAGAGGUCUUGACAUUCCGAGGAGCAUGGUUUCCUGGAGCUGCUUGCUACCGGGGUGAACUGGUCUGGCUGGGAUAUUUCUGGAGGGCCCUUGUUUCUUUUGCGGGGAGCCCCAGUGGUGCUUGGGCAGCUGAGGGAGCCUGGCUGUCCAUCAAAUGUUUCCUGCUUUCCAGCCAGUACUCAGGUUCCCCAUGAGGUCUCCUCCACUGCCUGUGGCUGUGCAUGCCAACAGCUCCCAGUCCCUGGGACACUUGGCCUCCUGCCAGUCCCACCCAAGAUUGCUCCAUCAAUUUUCUGGGAGUGGGCUCAGCAGAUUUAUAGGCAUAAAAUUUGUUUUUGCUUAAUAACAUGUUCGUAGUGAAGCAUUUUUGUGCUUGUGUGCUCUGACAAAGCAAAGUGUUGCAGCAAAAAGGAGGCAAAUUUCUUUGAAAUUAGGAUAUUCAAAGUAACUACUCAACUUGGGCCUUUUGAUAUUGCCUUAAGAAAUCUGUUUUGCCCAUAAAAUCAUGUCUUCGCUUUUGGCACCAUUCUGUUGCCAUUUAUUCCAAUUUUCAAAUAGCAACUGCUUCCACUUUCCUUUCUGUAAUUCAAAAUAGGAAUCUUUAAGGCCCUGGAAAAUCGUUUUUAUAAUAUCCUAAAGUGAAAAUACUCGCAAAUGUGUACUUUUUAGAGCAAGCGUAAAUUUUAAAUUCAGGACUAAAGUAACCUUUUAUGUGUGAUCUUGUCUGUAUUGUAAAUCACAGAGGGGUUUUUUCUCUGUUCUUUGAGAAGGUUGAGACUGCUCUGUAUUUCAGAAGGUUGGAACUGCUGGUGGGGGCUGC
ensembl:lncRNA